AAAUAAGAAGUAAAAUAUUUACAUAUUAAUUUCGACUUAAUAAUAGAUUAAAUAAAAAUCCUUAUUUU
rnacentral:tRNA from 1 species